GGCAACCCACUCCAGUAUUCUUGCCUGGAAAAUCCCAUGGACAGAGGAGCCUGACGAGCUAUAGUUGCAAGAAUCAGACAUGACUGAGUGACUAAACCACGAACCACCACCACCAUUUACCACCUGGGACCUCUUAGAUAAGAAGAAGGAAGGAUGGAAGGACACAGCCCUCUUGAAGAGGGGAGAAGCAGAACUGAAGGAGACCAUCUGAGUGCCCACCCCAUGACUGACUUCAUAAGCACAAGAUGACUUCAUCCUCCAAAUCCUGAAGCUCUGGGAGUGUGCCACUCUCUGCUCUGUCAGCAGGAACUCUGCCCAUCUUGGAAGACGUAGCUGGUGCUUCAUGGCUGAGAAGCCUUCCCACUUGUGGCGCAAGGGAUUUCUCCCUCAUGGUCCAGGCAGCUCAUUCCUAAGACCUUAGCUUCCCAACUCUGCUGGGGAGUCUUUUAAUUCUCCUCACUCUCUGUGACAACCUGUCAAAAGUGGCAGGGCUGGACUCAUAGGGUUUUAUUUACUGCUAACAAUAAAAACCAUGCAUGUUGGACUUCCUUGGAGGUCCAGUGGUUGAGGCUCCAUGCUUCCACUGCAGAGGGUGUGGGUUAAACCCCUGGUCAGGGAACUAAGAUCCCUCAUGCUAUGUGGUGUGGCCAAAAAAAAAAGAAUAAUAAUAAUAAUAGUAAAAACUAUGCAUGUUGGGUGGAUGCGGUAGGUAGGGGGAUCGUGGUAGAGGCAGGAGACACCACAUUCCUGCCAUGUCCCAGAGGCACAUGCCAUGUGCCAUGUCCCAUUCCCAUUUUCCUUUGUUAGGAUUAAAGAUUGGGGAAUUGGGAGUGAGACUAACUUGGUUCAGGUUCACCCUGUUGCUUCACGUGUGGCCGCCUUUCACACUGUAAUCCCAUAUCUAUAAAUGUGAGAAUCUGAAGACAAUAAUCUCCAAAAAAAUGAAAGACUUUUCCAUACAAAGAUGUUCACAGCAGUGUUAUUUAUAAUCGUGAGUUGGAAACUACUUAGAUAUGCUAACAUGGGAGAAUGGCCAGAUGAAUAAUGGUAUUAACAUUAUCUACUGCAUAAAUAUUAGAUAGACAUUUUGAAAGAUGAUUAUGGUGAUUCUGUGGUCACAUGGAAAAGCUUUGUAGUAAUCUAAGAUGAUCAUGGAUAUGUUAAACAAACAGCCUUACAUCCAAAAUGUCUGCAUGGGAGGAACAGUGAAAGGAAAACACAAGAUGUUAAUGGUUGAAGUGCUUUGGUGAUUUCUGAUUUCUCCUUUCCACUCUCCUGUAACAAGCAUGAACACUUAUAUCAAGAUUAAUUAUACUU